GAGUUUGAUCCUGGCUCAGAUUGAACGCUGGCGGCAUGCCUUACACAUGCAAGUCGAACGGCAGCACGGGAGCAAUCCUGGUGGCGAGUGGCGAACGGGUGAGUAAUAUAUCGGAACGUGCCCAGUCGUGGGGGAUAACGUAGCGAAAGCUACGCUAAUACCGCAUACGAUCUAUGGAUGAAAGCGGGGGAUCGCAAGACCUCGCGCGAUUGGAGCGGCCGAUAUCAGAUUAGCUAGUUGGUGGGGUAAAAGCCCACCAAGGCGACGAUCUGUAGCUGGUCUGAGAGGACGACCAGCCACACUGGAACUGAGACAC
rnacentral:rRNA from 1 species